GUCUACGGGCAAGCCACCCUGAACAAGCCCGAUGUCAAGCUAAGCAGGAUCGGGCCUGGUUAGUGCUUGGAUGGGAGACCACCUAGGAAGACCAGGUGCUGUAGGCA
rnacentral:rRNA from 1 species